AGAGUUUGAUCCUGGCUCAGGAUGAACGCUAGCGGCAGGCCUAAUACAUGCAAGUCGAACGGUGAUAGCAAUAUCAUAGUGGCGCACGGGUGCGUAACACGUGUGCAACCUACCUAUUAUUGGGGGAUAGCCUUUGGAAACGGAGAUUAAUACCGCAUAAUACGAUUGACUGGCAUCGGUUGAUUGUUAAAGCUUAGGCGAUAAUAGAUGGGCAUGCGUCCAAUUAGUUAGUUGGUUAGGUAACGGCUGACCAAGACGAUGAUUGGUAGGGGAUCUGAGAGGGUAAUCCCCCACGCUGGCACUGAGAUACGGGCCAGACUCCUACGGGAGGCAGCAGUAGGGAAUAUUGGGCAAUGGGCGGAAGUCUGACCCAGCCAUGCCGCGUGCAGGAAGAAGGCGUUAUGCGUUGUAAACUGCUUUUUUAUAGGAAGAAGGAUCCCUUGCGAGGGAAGGUGACGGUACUAUAAGAAUAAGCACCGGCUAACUCCGUGCCAGCAGCCGCGGUAAUACGGAGGGUGCAAGCGUUGUCCGGAUUUAUUGGGUUUAAAGGGUGCGUAGGCGGUUUAUUAAGUCAGUGGUGAAAGACGGUCGCUCAACGAUUGCAGUGCCACUGAUACUGGUA
rnacentral:rRNA from 1 species